rnacentral:rRNA from 1 species
GAUGAACGCUGGCGGCGUGCCUAAUACAUGCAAGUCGAGCGAACAGACGAGGAGCUUGCUCCUCUGACGUUAGCGGCGGACGGGUGAGUAACACGUGGAUAACCUACCUAUAAGACUGGGAUAACUUCGGGAAACCGGAGCUAAUACCGGAUAAUAUAUUGAACCGCAUGGUUCAAUAGUGAAAGACGGUUUUGCUGUCACUUAUAGAUGGAUCCGCGCCGCAUUAGCUAGUUGGUAAGGUAACGGCUUACCAAGGCGACGAUGCGUAGCCGACCUGAGAGGGUGAUCGGCCACACUGGAACUGAGACACGGUCAAGACUCCUACGGGAGGCAGCGGUAGGGAAUCUUCCGCAAUGGGCGAAAGCCUGACGGAGCAACGCCGCGUGAGUGAUGAAGGUCUUCGGAUCGUAAAACUCUGUUAUUAGGGAAGAACAAAUGUGUAAGUAACUAUGCACGUCUUGACGGUACCUAAUCAGAAAGCCACGGCUAACUACGUG